rnacentral:rRNA from 1 species
AAAUUGCAGAGUUUGAUCAUGGCUCAGAUUGAACGCUGGCGGCAUUCUUAACACAUGCAAGUCGAACGGUAACAGGAAGCAGCUUUUUGCUUUGCUGUUGAGUG